rnacentral:rRNA from 1 species
GUGGAUUAGAUACCCUGGUAGUCCACGCCGUAAACGUUGGGCACUAGGUGUGGGUCUCAACCAACGAGAUCCGCGCCGUCGCUAACGCAUUAAGUGCCCCGCCUGGGGAGUACGGUCGCAAGACUAAAACUCAAAGGAAUUGACGGGGGCCCGCACAAGCAGCGGAGCGUGUUGCUUAAUUCGAUGCAACGCGAAGAACCUUACCUGGGCUUGACAUGUACGGAAAAGCCGUAGAGAUACGGUGUCCUUCGGGGUCGUACACAGGUGGUGCACGGUUGUCGUCAACU